GACAGAGGGUGCAAACGUUGUUCGGAAUUACUGGGCGUAAAGCGUGUGUAGGCGGCCAUGCAAGUCGGAUGUGAAAGCCCCGGGCUCAACCCGGGAAGUGCACUCGAAACUGCUUGGCUUGAGUAUCGGAGAGGUUGGUGGAAUUCUCGGUGUAGAGGUGAAAUUCGUAGAUAUCGUAAGGAAGACCAGUGGCGAAGGCGGGUCUCUGGACAGUUCCUGACGCUGAGGCACGAAGGUCAGGGGAGCAAACGGG
rnacentral:rRNA from 1 species